GACGAACGCUGGCGGCGUGCUUAACACAUGCAAGUCGAACGAUGAUGCCCAGCUUGCUGGGUUGAUUAGUGGCGAACGGGUGAGUAACACGUGAGUAACCUGCCCUUCACUCUGGGAUAACUCCGGGAAACCGGUGCUAAUACUGGGUAUGACUCCAACUCGCAUGGGUAUGGAGUGGAAAGCUUUGUGGUGGAGGAUGGACUCGCGGCCUAUCAGCUUGUUGGUGGGGUAAUGGCCUACCAAGGCGACGACGGGUAGCCGGCCUGAGAGGGUGACCGGCCACACUGGGACUGAGACACGGCCCAGACUCCUACGGGAGGCAGCAGUGGGGAAUAUUGCGCAAUGGGCGAAAGCCUGACGCAGCGACGCCGCGUGAGGGAUGACGGCCUUCGGGUUGUAAACCUCUUUCAGUAGGGACGAAGCGAAAGUGACGGUACCUACAGAAGAAGCACCGGCCAACUACGUGCCAGCAGCCGCGGUAAUACGUAGGGUGCAAGCGUUGUCCGGAAUUAUUGGGCGUAAAGAGCUCGUAGGCGGUCUGUCACGUCGGCUGUGAAAACCCGAGGCUCAACCUCGGGCCCGCAGUCGAUACGGGCAAACUAGAGUACUGCAGGGGAGACUGGAAUUCCUGGUGUAGCGGUGAAAUGCGCAGAUAUCAGGAGGAACACCGGUGGCGAAGGCGGGUCUCUGGGCAGUAACUGACGCUGAGGAGCGAAAGCGUGGGGAGCGAACAGGAUUAGAUACCCUGGUAGUCCACGCCGUAAACGUUGGGCGCUAGGUGUGGGGGCCAUCCCACGGUCUCCGUGCCGCAGCUAACGCAUUAAGCGCCCCGCCUGGGGAGUACGGCCGCAAGGCUAA
rnacentral:rRNA from 1 species